rnacentral:rRNA from 1 species
CCUACGAGCGGCAGCAGUGAGGAAUAUUGGUCAAUGGACGCAAGUCUGAACCAGCCAUGCCGCGUGCAGGAAGACGGCUCUAUGAGUUGUAAACUGCUUUUGUACGAGGGUAAACGCAGAUACGCGUAUCUGUCUGAAAGUAUCGUACGAAUAAUGAUCGGCUAACUCCGUGCCAGCAGCCGCGGUAAUCCGGAGGAUUCAAGCGUUAUCCGGAUUUAUUGGGUUGAAAGGGUGCGUAGGCGGUCGGAUAAGUUAGUGGUGAAAUCCCGGGGCUCAACUUCGGAAUUGCCUCUGAUACUGUGCGGCUAGAGAGUAGUUGCGGUAGGCGGAAUGCAUGGUGUAGCGGUGAAAUGCGUAGAGAUCAUACAGAACACCGAUUGCGAAGGCAGCUUACCAAGCUACUACUGACGUUGAGGCACGAAAGCGUGGGGAGCAAACAGGAUUAGAGACCCUGGUAGUC